UUUCAACAAUGAUUGAUUUAUUCCAUCUGUUACAGGGAUUAGAAGUUUAAAGGAAGAAUCUAUACCUACCAUUUUCAAUAAACCCAUUCCUCUUCAGGAUAUUACAAAUAUUCUGAAUUAUAAUAUAUUUACAAUUUCAAACUGUAGAAAAAAAAAUGAUCACACCUAUGCUGCUAAUAACUAUUCCUUAACCAAAAAGAGAAGAUAUUUCCCAAAAACAAUUGAUACCCUAAAUAAUCUUGAAGUUGGAAAUUUGGAGGAGUCAGUUAGCCAUAGAAAAUAUUUCCCAAAAACAAUUGAUAUCCUAAAUAAUCUUGAAGUUGGAAAUUUGGAGGAGCCAGUUAGCCAUAUUGAUCCUAUAUUUUCCAAUUAUCACAAUGAUCAUAUAUACAUAGCAAUUUAACAGUUUUAUCAAGGAAGAUAUACAAAACAAAAAAUCAAAUACCAACAUUCGGCAGAAGCUGACAAAAGCAAUCUUAUUUGCUGGAGAAUAGCUUAUGAUCAUUUUUAAUUUAUAUUUGAUUUUUAAAAUGAUAUUAAAUUUAUAUCGUAAAUGUAUAUAUUUAA